rnacentral:snRNA from 1 species
UGCUUUGUUCAGUGGCAGUAUCGUAGCCAAUGAGGUUAAUCUGAGGCGCGAUUAUUGCUAGUUGAAAACUUUGCUUUGGAUUAG